rnacentral:rRNA from 1 species
ACGGAGGAUCCAAGCGUUAUCCGGAAUCAUUGGGUUUAAAGGGUCCGUAGGCGGUUUUGUAAGUCAGUGGUGAAAUCCGGCAGCUCAACUGUCGCACUGCCAUUGAUACUGCAGGACUUGAAUUAUUGUGAAGUAACUAGAAUAUGUAGUGUAGCGGUGAAAUGCUUAGAUAUUACAUGGAAUACCCAUUGCGAAGGCAGGUUACUAACAAUACAUUGACGCUGAUGGACGAAAGCGUGGGGAGCGAACAGGA